rnacentral:rRNA from 1 species
GAUGAACGCUGGCGGCGUGCUUAACACAUGCAAGUCGAACGGAAAGGCCCAAGCUUGCUUGGGUACUCGAGUGGCGAACGGGUGAGUAACACGUGGGUGAUCUGCCCUGCACUUCGGGAUAAGCCUUGGAAACUGGGUCUAAUACCGGAUAGGACCACAUUUUGGAUGGUGUGGUGGAAAGUUUUUCGGUGUGGGAUGAGCUCGCGGCCUAUCAGCUUGUUGGUGGGGUAAUGGCCUACCAAGGCGUCGACGGGUAGCCGGCCCGAGAGGGUGUACGGCCAAAUUGGGACUGAGAAAAGGCCCAGACUCCUACGGGAGGGAGGCGUGGGGAAUAUUGCAAAAUGGGCGCAAGCCUGAUGCAGCGAAGCCGCGGGGGGGAUGACGGCCUUUGGGUUGUAAACCCUUUUCGAUAGGGACGAAGCGUUAUGUGACGGUACCUGGAGAAGAAGCACCGGCUAACUACGUG